AGGCGUGAGGGUGACCUGCCUGCGACAUCUGCACCUCGUUGAUUGCCAGCUGAUCUGGCUGUCUAGGCGGGUGUCCCCUUCCUCCCUCACUGUUCCAUGUGCACCCCUUCCGAAGCUGUGAGCUCCUCGAAUAGAGGAGGACCGGCUUCGAUCAAGGGUAGCUUGCCCUCCCCUGCCAGAAUCUCCAAACAAGCUCACCCCUGUCAGAACAGUUGUCAUAAAAAAUGCUGGUAAGGAUGGAAGGAGGAAUCAUUAUAUAAUGCUGAUUAUGGAAACAUAAAUUAGUAUUGCCA
ensembl:misc_RNA 7SK 7SK RNA